UACGAAGGGGGCUAGCGUUGCUCGGAUUUACUGGGCGUAAAGGGCGCGUAGGCGGAUGUUUAAGUCGGGGGUGAAAGCCCAGGGCUCAACCCUGGAACUGCCUUCGAUACUGGACAUCUUGAGUACGGGAGAGGUGAGUGGAACUCCGAGUGUAGAGGUGAAAUUCGUAGAUAUUCGCAAGAACACCAGUGGCGAAGGCGGCUCACUGGCCCGAUACUGACGCUGAGGCACGAAAGCGUGGGGAGCAAACAGG
rnacentral:rRNA from 1 species